rnacentral:rRNA from 1 species
GAUGAACGCUGGCGGCGUGCCUAAUACAUGCAAGUCGAGCGAAUGGAUUAAGAGCUUGCUCUUAUGAAGUUAGCGGCGGACGGGUGAGUAACACGUGGGUAACCUGCCCAUAAGACUGGGAUAACUCCGGGAAACCGGGGCUAAUACCGGGUGACAUUUUGAACCGCAAGGUUCGAAAUUGAAAGGCGGCUUCGGCCGUCACUUAUGGAUGGACCCGGGAGGCAUUAGCCAGUUGGUGAGGUAACGGCUCACCAAGGCAACGAUGCGUAGCCGACCUGAGAGGGUGAUCGGCCACACUGGGACUGAGACACGGCCCAGACUCCUACGGGAGGCAGCAGUAGGGAAUCUUCCGCAAUGGACGAAAGUCUGACGGAGCAACGCCGCGUGAGUGAUGAAGGCUUUCGGGUCGUAAAACUCUGUUGUUAGGGAAGAACAAGUGCUAGUUGAAUAAGCUGGCACCUUGACGGUACCUAACCAGAAAGCCACGGCUAACUACGUGCCAGCCGCCGCCGUAA